AUUAUUAGUUUUGCAAGGGUAAGGGAGGAAUGAAGAAUAGUUGAUGAUAUUUACUACUAGUGGUCGGCUUCUCUCCGCCGUUGCUUCUUGGCCAAUUCUGGCCGGCGACGUUGACUCGUUAAAAAAGAGGUCAACUUGUUCCGACUCCUCUAACUCGCUAUUUAUUUCCACUCUCUCCGAAGACUAGAGUCAUCUCCCCUUGGCAAUUCCGUCGCCUCUCUAUCGAUCGCUGUAUUUCGGAUCGAAUCGGAGAAGGCAGGAAGGGAAAGAAGGGAAGGAUGAAUUGGAUCAGUCGCAAGAUCCAUCUAUACAACGUCACCAUGGGCCUCUACAUGCUCGAUUGGUGGGAGCGCUGCCUUUUCAACAUAUUGAUCCUUAUUUUGCUCUGGUUCAUCUGCCACAAUGGAUCUCGUUUCGCAACCGAGUUCUAUCAAAGCCAUCUGAAGACUCAACCCUUGGCUGGUGGAAACUUUGCAAUCGGAGGGAGUGUACCAUCCUAAUUGAUGAUCAGAAUAUAAAAAAGUAAUAAUGAAGUGUGCAAUGAACUGGAUCCCGAAUUAUUCGGUGUUUUUGAAAUACAUUUUUUCCGCUCUCUUUUUCAUGUUAAAAUCGAAGCCAUUAGCUUAUUUGUACAGUAGCUUGAGAUGGGAUGUUUGUAGCAGUAUUGUUGCAUUAACGUAUGGCUUUCCCUGUGGAAAUAUUUCCUCAAUACUGUGUACUCUCUUGUUCUCUAGUUUUUCUUUGCUUUUC